GCAUCACUACCACCAGCUUUCAAAGAGCAUCUGAAGCCCUGAGAGAGCAUCUGAAACCUUCACAGAAAUGCUUUUUUCUGUCCUGCUUAUGCUGGGCAUCUGCCUGGUGCCCGCUGAGCUUAAACCAGCAAAUGAAUAUCUUGGCAGUCCUUUUCUUCAGCGAUCUUUUGAAGAAGCAAGGAAAAUUGUGGAUGAUGCAUACAAGUACUCCAGAGAAGAGUGAG